ensembl:lncRNA
GACGAAUGUUUGUGCAAAUGGAUAAUCUGUGCAGCUUUGCAGUUCGUGGGUCCAUUUGCAUAAAUAUUGUUCGCAGAAAGCAAUUAGCGGCUCAUCUACAUGCAGUGAGGUAGCAAUGUGCACUUUUUCAGAAACGACUUCUUGUGCGCAAAUGUGACGCUUUGCAAUUGGCCUUCAAAUAGAAAGGCUUUAACGCUUUUCCUGUCUGCUUUCCUGAGAUUCGGAAUUUUCCCUUUAAAAGAGAAAGUGCCACAUGAAGGGUAAAGGUUCUCCAAGCUAGCGUUCCUGGGGCACGUCCUCCUUUCCUGACUGUGCCCGAGCUUCUGCAGCUCCCUGAAGACCCGUGCAGGCCAUUUUCUUGGCCUCCAACUUGCACACCUUUAGGUGAAGCUUUCUCACGGGGGCAAUGGUGGGCCACCCCUGCACACACUGCCCUCUUCCCCCACCUUGGCUCACGCUGCAGGGAAGAAGGCUCUGCCGUGGAUCUCAGUUCUAAGAGACAGGAUCUGGUGGCCCGGGAAGACUGGGAGCCUCCACGCCCAGCCCCUACCAGGUGACCCCAGCCAGGCCUGGCCGGGUGGGCACUCUCACCGAUGACAGUGCUGUUCACGUCCCAGCUGAGGUUUCAGCCUUUCCCGCAAGGGCUGUUGCAGAGGAAUCCAGCAGAGACCUACGGGGAGGCUCCGCUGCAAUGGUGACCUCACCGUCAAGCCUUGCUCAACUUCCAAGGAAACUCCACACCGUGGAAGAGAGGUGUGACCUGCACAAGGAGAAGGAGAAGCAGGACCGAUGGGGCCAUCACAGGACCUGGAGCGAGUGUAACUGGUGUCCUCAGAGAGAAACGAGGCCGCUAGGCAGGUGCUGGCCUCACUGGAAGAGCCCACCAAGUGCCAAGCAGGAUAAACACAAAGAACCAGCACCUGCAGAUUCAUUCCUUCCACAUGGAAGAGGAAGGUGGGUCCUCGGUGACGCGGCCAAAGCUGGGUGGGCGGGGGAGGGGAACCCGAAUUAUCUAAACGGAACAAGGGUCCGAUCCACACCCGCCUUCUCAUCUGCAGUGUUGGGAGGACGUGUGAAGACUGCAAAAGCUUCCCAGUUUUGAGAUAAAUUCCUUGGACAAUCCACUAUUUAUAUGCAGAUAGAAAAUAAAACUGGCCAGGUGGGGGCGGCUCACACCUGGAAUCCCAGCACUUUGGGAGGCUGAGGCAGGUGGAUCACCUGAGGUCAGGAGUUGUAGACCAGCUUGGCCAACAUGGCAAAAUCCUGUCUCUACUAAAAUACAAAAAUCAGCCAGGCGUGGUGGAAGGCACCUGUGAUCCCAGUUACUCAGGAGGCUGAGGCAGGAGAAUCGCUUGAACCCAGGAGGUGGAAGUUGCAGUGAGCCAAGAUCACACCACUGUGACACAGUGAGACUCUAUCUAAAAAAAAAAAAAAGAAAAAUGAAAAGAAAACCACUUAGCUCCCAUAGUCCUGACUUUCUGAAGGAAUUGCUGGAAGAUGUGCUCUGGCAAGAGGCAAAGGGCACCUGGGAGCUGAGGCCGACCCUGGCCGUCGUUACUGAGGCCGCUCAGGUGCUCUGCCGUGUGCUGCACAUGAAUUAUCUCAUGAAUCCUCUUGAUGCCGUGAGCCUGGUGCUGCUAGUCACGUUUCACAGGCGAGGAAAUAAAAGUACAAUAAUGUUAGUGUGUUGUUAAGUUCAAGUAGGUAUUGAUGAUUAAAAAUGAUAACAAUUGGCCGGGCGUGGUGGCUCCCGCCUGUAAUCCCAGCACUUUGGGAGGCCAAGGUGGGUGGAUCACCUGAGUUCAGAAGUUCGAGACCAGCCCGACCAACACGGUGAAACUCCGUCUCUACUAAAAAUACAAACAUUAGCUGGGCGUGGUGGUGCUCACCUGUAAUCCCAGGUACUUGGGAGGCAGAGGCAGAAGAAUCACUUGAACCCGGGAGGCAGAGGCUGCAGUGAGCCAAGAUUGCACUCCAGCCUGAGUGACAUGGCGAGACGCCAUCUCAAAGAAAAAAAAAAAAAAAAAAGAGAAAUGAGAGUCAUAAAAUGAAAUAUAUAAUGAAAAGAAUAUAUAAAGCAAAAAAAGAAAAUUACUAAUCCCUAGUCAUGGUGGGAGACCUACCUCAGAACUGAAGAAUUUAAUAGUUAUAAGUAAAUACAAGCAAUUAAAGCUUAAUCUAAUAGACACAUAGAAAUACAUAUUCGACAAAUAAAAAAUAUUUCCUAACACAGCAAGAACAUUAAAGACUGUGUACUAGAUGACCAGGAGAAUUUGAUAACCUAAAAAUUAACCUGUAAGGCCGACUUCAGUGACAAGCAAUGAAAUCAGAAAUCAGUGGCAGAAAGAAAGUCCUUCAAAAUGAGCGCAGCGGGAGAUACACCGAUAAUUAUUUCAGCAGGUGUUAAAUUAAAGACAGAAACUGUCAACCGUCUGCAGCCCAAUGGCCAUGAUAACUCCUCACGUCAAAACUUAAGGCAUUGGCUGAAGUGUCACCACCUGUACAGACGCAAACGGAUUCGUUGAAGUGGAAUAUGAAUAGGUCAAGAUUUCAAACCGAAGAAGCUGGAAAAGCAACAGAAUAAGCUCAGAGGAACAAUGUGCUCAUCCCGAGGAGCAUGAUAAUCAUAAAGACGGCCACAGAAUCACAGAAGGAAGGCUCGGAGGCCACUGCUGACCAUGCCCUUCCCUGCACUGUCCAGAGGGAGGCAGCCCCCGUUUUGGACAUCAAGUGCUUGUAGCCACCUGGGCAGCUUGAGCUCCUUCUCAUGAGAUCAUCUCAUUCCCCGUCUGAUUGCAUGCUCUCCAAGAUGACUUCUAAUGGUGCCUUCUCAGCAAAGGCACUUUGAGUGGGGAUGUUGGGAUUCUGGUCCUGUAAACACUCACUUCUCAGGUUAAAUCAGCACAACAUUCUGCUUCCCUGUAUCAGCGCUCAUCUCACAUGACCUCGCCAGAAUCAGCCUGCUGGUAUUUUCCAAAGUAUGGCCAUAAGGAUUUGUUAAUAUUCUUCACCCUCAUCUCCCUACUGACCAAUCCACCUGCCCACCUACUCACAUAGUCACCAAUGCGUGAGUAAUAAAUCAAUGCAUUUACUUAUUCUUUAUCCUCCCUACCACCCUCCCAUCUAUCCACGCACCCAAACAUCUACCCACCCACCACCCAUCCAUUCAUCCAUCCACCCACCCACUCAGCUAUUUAUCCACCCAUAUGUUCACCCAUGCCACCAUCCAUCCAUCCUCCCUAACAUCCAACCACCCAUCCACCCACCCAAACGUCUAUCCACCCACUCAUCCAUUCAUCCAUCCACCCACCCCUUCAUCCACCCACUCGCUCACUCAUCCACCUACCCAUCCACCUACCCACUCACU